GCAAACUUGGUCAUUUAGAGGAAGUAAAAGUCGUAACAAGGUUUCCGUAGGUGAGUAGUAUUAUCCUCGGCUGCUUUACUUUUCCCGUCGCUAACUUGACACCCAGGUGAACCUGCGGAAGGAUCAUUAGUGAGCAAGGGUCGAUUGCGGUCUCACCGUCGAUCGCCCGAACCUCCCAACCCCCUGCGUACUUUGAGCAAGUUGCUUCGGCGGGCCGCAGUCCUCGAGACUCCAUCGGCCCCGGCUGGUGCGUGCCCGCCGAAGAUCUUUUUUCAAAUCGUUUACAAUAGCGUCUGAAAUUUGUCCCAAAUCAAUAGCCAAAAACUUUCAACAACGGAUCUCUUGGUUCUGGCAUCGAUGAAGAACGCAGC
rnacentral:misc_RNA from 1 species